ensembl:snoRNA SNORD110 small nucleolar RNA SNORD110
UUGCAGUGAUGACUUGAGAAAUCUGUCAAUCCCCUGAAUGUAAUCACUGAUGUCUCCAUGUCUCUGAGCAA